GUGAGUAACACGUGAGUAAUCUGCCCCUGGCUUCGGGAUAGCCACCGGAAACGGUGAUUAAUACCGGAUAUGACAGACCCUCGCAUGGGGGUGUGUGGAAAGUUUUUCGGCCAGGGAUGUGCUCGCGGCCUAUCAGCUUGAUGGUGAGGUAAUGGCUCACCAUGGCUUCGACGGGUAGCCGGCCUGAGAGGGUGACCGGCCACACUGGGACUGAGACACGGCCCAGACUCCUACGGGAGGCAGCAGUGGGGAAUAUUGGACAAUGGGCGGAAGCCUGAUCCAGCAACGCCGCGUGAGGGAUGACGGCCUUCGGGUUGUAAACCUCUUUCAGUACCGACGAAGCGCAAGUGACGGUAGGUACAGAAGAAGCACCGGCCAACUACGUGCCAGCAGCCGCGGUAAUACGUAGGGUGCGAGCGUUGUCCGGAAUUAUUGGGCGUAAAGGGCUCGUAGGCGGUUUGUCGCGUCGGGAGUGAAAACGCCGUGCUUAACACGGCGCUUGCUUCCGAUACGGGCAGACUAGAGGUAUUCAGGGGAGAACGGAAUUCCUGGUGUAGCGGUGAAAUGCGCAGAUAUCAGGAGGAACACCGGUGGCGAAGGCGGUUCUCUGGGAAUGACCUGACGCUGAGGAGCGAAAGUGUGGGGAGCGA
rnacentral:rRNA from 1 species